rnacentral:rRNA from 1 species
UACGUAGGGUGCAAGCGUUGUCCGGAAUUAUUGGGCGUAAAGAGCUCGUAGGCGGUUUGUCGCGUCGGGAGUGAAAACAUCGGGCUUAACUCGAUGCUUGCUUUCGAUACGGGCAGACUUGAGGUAUGCAGGGGAGAAUGGAAUUCCUGGUGUAGCGGUGAAAUGCGCAGAUAUCAGGAGGAACACCGGUGGCGAAGGCGGUUCUCUGGGCAUUACCUGACGCUGAGGAGCGAAAGUGUGGGGAGCGAACAGG